UUCGUUCUCUUCCCCACUCCCCCCUCUACUCUUUCGGUUUCAUCUUCUUUUUUUUUUUUAACUCCAGCUCUGUGUUUUUGCCUGUCUGUGAUCGUUUGGGACCUCAAUCUAAUCAUUAAUGGCAAAGUUCUCGAAGUUCGACGACUCUUCUGAUGAAGCUUCUUCAAACGGUUAGUUUUCUUCGGGGGAAGACCCAAUGGAAGAUGAUGCGGUCGGUGAUUUUAAGAGCGAGGAAGAAGAGAAGAGGAGGAUGGAAUUUCAGCGAAUGCUGAAAUUGGAAAGCGUGUAAGGGCCAGCUUGAGAGAAUUGCAGAGGUUGAAGAAUCGGAGAAUCCAAGAAAUAUUAGAUACACAAAAUGCUGCCAUUGAUGCUGACAUGCAUGACCAACAAAGGGAAGGGGCGCCUGAAGUAUCUCCUGCGGCAGACACAGAUAUUUGCUUACUUUGCCAGAGGCAAUCAUUCUGCAUCUCAGAAGAACCCAAGGGGAAGACCUUAUUUGCAGACCUGAUUUCAUGCCUAUUUAGCCACCUUGCUCUGUUCUUCUGAAGUUGGAUCGAUACGACAAUCCAUGGUUGGAAGUGAAAAUUCAAUAUGGCCAGAACAAAGGGAAGCUGUACAAUGAGGAAUGUGAUCGUUUCAUGUUAUGCAUGGUUCACAACCUUGGAUAUGGGAACUGGGAUGAUCUCAAGGCAGCUUUUCGUGCAUCGCCUUUGUUUCAUUUCGAUUGGUUUGUAAACCUUGUACCACUCAAGAACUUGCAAGAUGCUGUGAUAUGCUCAUUUGAUUAGUAGAGAGAGAAAAUCAAGAAUUUGAUGGGAGGAAGAGACAAGCCCGGAAAUAUAAGAAGCUUGUGAAGAAUAAUGGCACCAUCAAAGCGUGCAAUGACUAGAGAGCUUGCUGAGAACCCCGUUUCAACUUUGAAGAAAAGGAAGCAAGCAGUGAUGGACGACCAUCUUAGCUCAAGAGGAGGAGAAUAUGAAAAUUUGUCAAUAGGAAGUGUCUCUGUCUAUAGUAACUAAAACCUUAUAUAUACCAUCCUUGCUGAGUAGGAUUUUACCCCUCUAGUUGUUAUGGUUCACUUUCAUGAAUUAACCUGUCUUGGGUUCUUGGGGUAAGUUUUGUGGAUUGCAUGUUACAAAAAAAAAAGAAGAAAGUUUUGUGGAUUGCAAUCUUGGUUAUCCUGGGCCAUCUCUUGGUGGAAAGGGUGGGUUUUGUAUUAGGGUUGGGAAUGUUGGGUUGUUUUUAUGUUGUGCCAAUUUCGAAUUGUAUCAUAA